rnacentral:hammerhead_ribozyme from 1 species
AUUCAAUUGACGAGUCCCAAAUAGGAUGUAACACGCGUCAAAUUGGAU